CCUUGGCAUAACAUUAAAUUAUAAACUGGAAUGUGAGAAACAGGGUAGCAGUGGACCUACGGUCGAUCCUUGCUUUGGCUUACUCAUUUGAAAAAUCCGAGUUUUGAAUUUUUCCAGCUGUGCUAUGAGCCAUCUAUAGUAUCUUGAUCCCAUUUUCUUCUGAUCCUUUUUAUAUUCAGUAUAUCGCGAUAUCUUAUGUGCUACAUGGGAAGUCUAGUCACACCAGAAUAAUCUGACAGUAUCUUCAAAAUCUUAUUACUUGAAUAACCUCAAAAAAAUUUGCUCUAUAGAUCUUUAGAGUUUUGAAGGAUCACAAUUCACAUCAGCUACUGAUCUGGUUGGACGAUUUUUCUUGGGGUUUCCUUGUUUAUCUUUGAACUCGAUAGGAAUGUGAAACAACAAAGAAAUCUUGACUAUCGGGAGGGUUAAAAGAUGAUAAUGUAGAUAUUUUUUCUAUGGUAGCAAGUUAAGUAAAGUUCCAAAGGGUACAUCCACACUUGCAUCAAGCCUCCCAAAAUCCCUGAAAAACAUUUCCACAGUUAUUAUAGUUAAAUUACCAUUUAUAUUUAUAGGUUAUAAGAUUUAAUGAAAAUAUAAUUUUUUUUUUCCGUAAUGACAGACAACAUAUUAAUGAAGUAGCUGAUUUGCAUUUCUCUGAAGAUGCAUCCAUACUUUUAUGAAGCAUCAGACUUCAGAGUUACAAAAAUAUUUCAAAGAGGAAGAAGAAGAAAAAGAAACCCAAAACAUCAUUCUUAUUUCUUAUACCUUGUUGUGCCUCUUCAUAAGCAUUAUCAAGUGAAUUAAUUGAAAAGUUUAUGAUUUUAUCUAAUUCUUUUUGUCUUUCCCAUCAAAUCCAAAAGUUAUUUAUGUCUUAGCUCUUUGAUGUAAAUGUUCUUUCUUGACUUUUGAUGUCUAAGCUGUCAUGCUUCAAUA